rnacentral:lncRNA from 1 species
CUGUGAUUCAGUGAGGAAGUAUGGACUAGCUUAUCUGAGGCAUCAUGUGAUCCACAUUUUAUGGGAAAAGUCUAUUUAGUUCCCUGAUGGAUGAAGUAAACUCAGUAAAUGUUUCUUGAGUUUGGCUAGUCGAGUGUGUGUGGCAGAUCUGUGGUUCUUUUGCUGCUUGCAGACAUUAUGCUGUACCAGGAGUGCAGUCAGGAAAAAAUAUCACUUCCUCACUUGGAGAGAUGCAAGAAUGAUACUUUAAUGACCAGAGUUGUGGGACACCUUCAGCCGUGCAGUAUGCAGCAAGAACAUGAUUGCAGUGUGGACAUUUCAAGAAUGGAUAUUAGCAAAUGAAAGCCCCGAUCCAGCAAUCUGCUCCACACAGGCUGAUUCUUAUGCCUGCAUGGAGUCUCAGUAAGUGGGGACCUUACAUGAUUUAGUUAUGUGGAUACAUGGUCAGGCACACAGUCUUCAUUGAACUUCUUUAAGUCAUGGAGAGAACCCAAAACAUGAAGUAGAGACUGAAGCAGAAGUAGACUCACCAGAACUCCCUGUUAACAUUGUAUCUGAUGAUGGGCUACCUUGUGGAUAAAACAGUGCAAGUCAGGAGAGCUUGGUUCUAUUUCCAGCUCUUCUUUUUACUUAC